rnacentral:rRNA from 1 species
AUUGAACGCUAGCGGCAGGCCUAACACAUGCAAGUCGAGGGGUAUCCCGCUUUCGGGCGGGAGAGACCGGCGCACGGGUGCGUAACGCGUAUGCAACCUACCCUGUACUGGGGGAUAGCCCGGAGAAAUUCGGAUUAACACCCCAUAGUACUAAUGAAUGGCAUCAUUUAUUAGUUAAAGGUUACGGUACAGGAUGGGCAUGCGUCCUAUUAGCUAGAUGGUAAGGUAACGGCUUACCAUGGCUACGAUAGGUAGGGGGCCUGAGAGGGUGGUCCCCCACACUGGUACUGAGACACGGACCAGACUCCUGCGGGAGGCAGCAGUGAGGAAUAUUGGUCAAUGGGCGCAAGCCUGAACCAGCCAUGCCGCGUGCAGGAAGACGGUCCUAUGGAUUGUAAACUGCUUUUAUUUGGGAAUAAACCUCUUUACGUGUAGAGAGCUGAAGGUACCAAAUGAAUAAGCACCGGCUAACUCCGUGCCAGCCGCCGCGGUAA